rnacentral:RNase_P_RNA from 1 species
GGCGUGCGCCAGGCAAUCGCUGUAGUUCAUCACGAAUUACGGAGGAAAGUCCGAACUCUGUCCCGCGGCGUCCCAGACGUCCGGGACGGGCACAGUGCCGGAUAACAUCCGGGGUCCCGAGCGAUCGGGAUACGGAAAGUGUCACAGAAAACAUACCGUCCCGGUCAAACGGGAUAAGGGUGAAAAGGUGCGGGGGGCGAUCAAGUCCCCUUAAUGUAAGAGCGCACCGCGUCCGCAGUAAUGCGGACGGCAGGACAAACCCCACUGAGAGCAAGACCGUGUAGGUUUCGUCAUCCGCUCUGCGGAUAGAGAGACGCCCGCUCAAUUCCUUCGGGAGACGAAACGGGUAGGUCGCUAGAGCGUUCCAGCGAUGGACCGCCCAGAGAAAUGAUUGCCUCCUCCGCUUCACCGCGGAGAAGACAGGAUUCGGCUUAUCGGCACAUUCCUUCG